AUUGAACGCUGGCGGCAGGCCUAACACAUGCAAGUCGAGCGAGCGGCGGACGGGUGAGUAAUGUAUGGGGACUGCCCGAUAGAGGGGGAUAACUACUGGAAACGGUAGCUAAUACCGCAUACUAUCGGAUAACCCAUAUGGGAUUAACUAGUAGGUGAGGUAAUGGCUCACCUAGGCGACGACACCUAGCGGGUCUGAGAGGAUGAUCAGGCACACUGGGACGGAGACACGGCCCAGACGCCUACGGAGGCAGCAGUGGGGAAGAUUGCUCAAGGGGCGCAAGCCUGAUGCAGCCAUGCCGCGUGUAUGAAGAAGGCCCUAGGGUUGUAAAGUACUUUCAGUCGGGAGGCGUUACCGACAGAAGAAGCACCGGCUAACUCCGUGCCAGCAGCCGCGGUAAUAC
rnacentral:rRNA from 1 species